rnacentral:lncRNA from 13 species
CUGUUUUAGAAAUAAACCUUUCUUUUUUACAGACUCGCAGUAUUUCUUUGAAGUGUGCAUCUGUUGUGAAGAAGGAGUACAGCUGGAAAAAAUAGAGCGUCAACUGUAUUUUCUGUACCCUGCUCUAGACUGCAUGC